rnacentral:lncRNA from 1 species
UGGCCUGCUCUGGACUACUGUUGUCACUACUCUUUGGCGUGAACGCUGCUCCUCCCUCUAUGAUGGUACAAGACGGAGGUGGAUAUUGUUGGCAGCAUUAAAUUUGAUGUCAGAGCUAUGAUGCUUGGUCACCCGAGAGCUAGGAAUCUGGUGUAUUUCCUUUCAGUAUUUCUUUUCUUUGUUGUUUCCUUUCUCUUUGGUUAGCAGGUAGGUGCAUGAAGUAGUGAUUCCGGGCACCUAACUUAGAGGGAGAUGGCUAAUUGAACCUGCACACUUCUCUUGCCUUGUAGUCUGUCUUUUCUUUCUCCCUUGUCUCUAUUGUCUUUGUUUAUAGACUUUGUUU